AUUCACAAAGAAAAACUGAGAAAUCCCUUAGCCAGAAGGAAAGAAAAGUGAAUAUCAUAAUGUUUUAAAGAAAAGUGAAUAUCCUGUUUUUAAGAAAAGUUAAUAUCAUACAAGUUACAUUAUAUCUUUCUGAAAAUUUAUUUUCUCCAGACUGAGAAAGCAUUAUGACUAAAGCAUAGAUACUAGGAAAAUAAUCAGUUCCAAUUUUUUUCAUUAAUGUUGAGUACAAGCUGCUACUUCAAAAAUAUCUUCAUCAGAUUUAAAUUAUUCUGUAACUCCAUUCCCUAUUUCCCAUCUCCUAAAAUGAUGUUAAUUUAUCAUUCUCAGGAAUGCAUUCUCAUCAUCUUAGAGGAAAUUGUAAUUAAAUAAACCCUUGGUGAGUUCAUCCCUGAGGUGAACAUGAGGUCACAAGUUGAUGCAGAACCACCGUCAGUGGUAAAGAAGAUGUCAAUCUUAGAUAGCAAAUGCUUCAGUAAUUACAGUAUUGAGACUGUCAUGCUAAGAGACAUAUAUGUGAUCCAGACGGCUUUUCAGAACCUUCCUGAUCAUUCCUCCAGGAUGCUGCCCCCAAAUGGAGUAAAAUGCUUCCUCUUACAAACAGCAGGAAGAGUCCAGGUUUCUCAGCCCAACAUUCAAUGUCCUGUGUAAUUUUCCUCUCUCCAGUUGAUAGCUUCAGACCUUCCUCCCAUCUUCUCCUACACAGAACCUCUACUCCAAACUCUUUCUCUGUCCCAGAAGAGAAUGUGAAUUUUGGCCUCCAGGUUUUUUUUUUUAAUCGGUGAGAAUCUCACCUAAGGCAUGAAGCUCACCCUUCUCUCUGCCCAGUCUCAAGUCUUCAUGGAGCCUGCCCUGACACCCCAGCCUGCUGAGACCUUUCCUUCUCUAGUAUAGAGGCUGUAUCGCUGGCAACAUGCCUUGUUACAAAUAACUGUAUGACAUUUCUUUCAUCCGUCUCCAAAAUCUCAGUAUUCACAUACCCUUCACUAUUUUUUCCCAUAUUCACAUACUACCUGUUACGUUUUGGUCUUUAUUACUUUCUUGAAACCAAUUCCCACAUUUUUACUUACAUUUAAUUUUAUAGAAAUUUUUAGAUCAUGACCAUAAUGGAAAGUCAAUACAUACUACCUGUUAUGUUUUGGUCUUUAUUAUUUUCUUGAAGCCAAUUCCCACAUUUUUACUUACAUUUAAUUUUAUAGGAAAUUUUAGAUCAUGACCAUAAUGGAAAGCCAAUAACAUUUUACAUAAAUUGAAGAUAAUUGUAAAAUAUAACCAUUAAUAUAAAAAUGUUUGUCUAUGUAGGCCGGGCAUAGUGAUUCAUGCCUGUAAUCCCAGCCCUUUGGGAGGCCGAGGUUAGAAGUUCAAGACCAGCCUGGCCAAAUGAUGAGACCACAUCUCUACUAACACAAAAAUUAGCUGAGUGUGGUGGCAUGCACCUGUAAUUUCAGCUACUCGGGAGGCUGAGGCAUGAGAAUUGCUUGAUCCCGGGAGGCAGAAGUUGCAGUGAGCCAAGAUCACACUACUGCACUCCAGCCUGGGUGACAGAGUGAGACACUGUCUCAAAAAAAAAAAAAAAAAAAAAAAAAAGUUUGUCUAUGCCUACUACCUAAAAUUAUCUCACAUAUCUCAGUUUGGGAAAUGCUACUUUAUGUUGUCAUCUCAUAUUGCAAUUUAAGCCUUGCAUCAUGUAAGUUAUUAUGUGUGUAUAUCUAUUUCCCUGAAUAUACCAUAACUUCCUAAAGAAGGUCAUAUAUUAUACUUCACAUUCCACAGUGUUUUUAGUCCAGUGUGUUGCACUUGGUAGGCAUUAAAUAAAUAUUUGUUCAGUAAAUAAAUGUCCACAAAUGUAUCAAUAUCCCUAGUCACAGUUUGUAGUUAUACAAUCGGUAAAAUGAAAAUACUCAAACUUAAUAAGCCCAUUUAAUUAUAUAAUGAAUUUAUAUAGUAUACUAUCAUGGAUAUAAAAUAUAUUAUAAAUAAAGGAAAACAUCGCUAUUAAUAGUAACAGUGUUAAUCACAUGAGAUUCUGGAUUUUAAAAUUUUAAAGUGAUAGCUCUAGAUUUUAUGAAAGUAAUAAGCAGGAAUAGAUCCAAUAGUUAACUGAUGUGCCUUGCUUUAGACAAACCCAAUAGAUCAAAAUCCAAGCAUACAUGAAAGAUGAAUUAGGGUCAGAUAAGUUACACUGCAAAAUAAAUUUAGAGUAGAGGCCAUUUGAACAGCAAAUCCUAACAACAUUUUAAAUGCAGCUUGACUCCUAUUUCAGGAACAUAUUUAUUAGACAAAUUAAAGUGUGCAUUAUCAUAAAAAUGAACACAAGUAAACUCAGGGGGAGAUAAUAAAAAGCUAAAGAAAAAAAAUCUCAAAAAAAAUCUCAUAAAUUUUCUGAUUUGAACUGGAGGUUUGGUUAAUACUGUAUCCAAAUGCAUUUUUUUAAAAAAUAUUCUGAACUGUUAUUUCCCGAAGAUCAAAGUUUUAAUUUUCAAAAGAAAAGUUGCGAAGAAGAAUUUUUAAGACAAAGUAAAUAGAGAAACUAGUUGGGGUGGUGGGAAUUAUUCCAGAUCCCUGUGCCUUCUGUAGGAAAAAUAAAUAAAAUCUGGCAGUCAGUAGGCUUUCUGUAUCUAUGUCCUUUAACUAUUUCAAACAGAGAAAAAUAAGAAACUAAAAUCUACUGCUUCCAAAUGAUUAAAUAUCUUCCACUAAAUUUAUAAAGGUUCCUACUCAGACAAUUUUUUCACUCAUUCCCUCAAAACACCAAUAUUUCUGUAUCUUCAGGAUGAGCUCUAUACGGAUUCCAGAGGAAACAUCAACCAGAAACAGACCUGAGUGUGUGCUAGUGUAACCCAGCAUUCCACAUACCCCCAAAUAUGCAUUAUGAUAUGGUGACCUACACUCCUCCAUGGAGAAUUAUGAGAUAUCAGAGCAGGAGCAGAUCUUUAAAGGUUCCUACUAUAAUUCCUUUGAAUAUGAAAAAUGACUCCAAGGAAAAGUUAUUUUCCCAACUUACAAAGAUAAACUCAAGUCCAGUGGAGUGAAUAGAUCCACUCUUGCCUGCACCUAGCCACAGUUCAGCUUCCCAAGUACUACUCUCCCCUGGUCCACCUGCAAGGUGAGAAAGUAGAUCCAGAGAAACACCCAACCCAUUCUUUCCCUAUUCUCUGCUUCUCUCUUGAAAUCUGUCUGCAGAAAUAUGAUAUCUGAAAAUAGCUUUUAUCCUAAAGCACAAGUAUAGGGCAAAUUUCCAGAGAGUAUCUAGAAAGCCACAAAUAAAACUUGAGGAUGGGGCACGGUGGCUGCUUGAGAACUGGAGUCAUUUUGUAACCCAAGCUGGAGAUGUUUCCAGUGGCCUCCACCAUCCAGCUGCACCCCUUCAGACUGGGUUAGGUACAGGGGAAGUACUCUGCUUUACUCUGCCAUGGCAUGCCCUCCACUGAACUGUCAUCGUGAGUGGAUUCUGCAAGGGAGGCCCUGAGUCUUACCCAUCUUCUUAUCUCCAGUGCCUAGCACAAUGCCUGGUAUAGAGAAGAUCCUCAAUAAUGGCUGUUUUUAAAAAUUACUGUAUAUUAUUUAAUUUCUAUUAUUUUCCAGGUGAUACAUAUAAAUAACUUGAAAAAGUCAAAUAAUCAACAGGAUUUAUUUUAUUUCUGUUUUGUUUGUUUGGUUUUUUUUUUUAUUGAGACAGGGUCUUGCUCUGUCACAGAGGCUGGAGUGCAGUGGCGCCAUCUCAGCUCAGUGCAACCUCAAGUUUUAUUUUUAAAAGAAGUGUUAUCUUCUAUCCACCAAUCCCUCAAUUAUAUAAUACACAUAUCUAUUUCUCCGAGUUAAUCAUAUUAAACUUUUAGCUAUUUAGUUGAUUAUGUAUUUACUACUUAACUCUAUUUCUAUUUUUUUUCUUUCCAACUUUUAUUUUAGGUUCAGGGGGUACAUGUGCAGGUUUGUUACAUGGGUAAAUUGCAUGUUGCAGGGGUUUGUUGUACCGGUUAUUUAAUCACCCAGGUAAUGAGCAUAGUGCCUGAUAGGUAGUUUUUUGAUCUUCACCCUCUUCCAACCCUUCACCCUCAAAUAGGCUCUAGCGUCUAUUGUUCCCUUCUUUGUGUCCAUAUGUUCUCAAUGUUUAGCUUCUACUUAAAAGUGGGAACAUGUGGUAUUUGGUUUUCUGUUCCUGUGUUAAUUUGCUUAGGAUAAUAGACUCCAGCUCCAUCCAUGUUGCUGCAAAGGACACAAUCUCAUGUUUUUUAAGGCUGCAUCGUAUUCCAUGGUGUAUAUCCAUGUCCAUCACUGAUGGACAUUUAAGUUGAUUCUGUAUCUUUGUUGUUGUGACUAGUGCUGCGAUGAACGUGCAUGUAUAUGUGUCUUUAUGGUAGAAUGAUUUCUAUUCCUUUGGGUAUAUACCCAGUAAUGGGGUUGCAGGGUCAAAUGAUAGUUCUGUUUUAAGCUCUUUGAGAAACCUCCAAACUGCUUUCCAUAAUGGCUGAACUAAUUUACAUUCCCACCAGCAGUGUAUAAGUGUUCCCUUUUCUCUACAACCUCACAAGCAUCUGUUAUUUUUUGAUGUUUUAAUAGGAGCCAUUCUGAGUGGUGUGAGAUGGUAACACAUUGUGGUUUUGAUUUGCAUUUCUAAUGAUUAGUGUUGCUGAGCUUUUUUCACAUGCUUGCUGGCCGUAUGUAUGUCUUCUUUUGAGAAGUGUCUGUUCAUCUCCUCUGCUCAUUUUUUAAUGGCAUUGUUUGCUUUUUGCUUGCUAAUUUGUUUAAGUUCCUUAAAGAUUCUGGAUGUUAGGCCUUUGUCAGAUGCAUAAUUUGCAAAUAUUUUCUCCCAUCCUGUAGGUUGUCUGUUUACUCUGUUGAUAGUUUCUUUUGCUGUGGAGAAGCUCCUUAAUUAGUUCCCAUUUGUCAAUUUUUCCGUUGCAAUUGCUUUUGGAGUCUUGGUCAUAAAAUCUUUGUCAGGAUCUAUGUCCGGAAUAGUGUUUCCUAGGUUUUCUUCUAGGGUUUUAUAGUUUUAAGUUUUACAUUUAACUUUUUAAUCCAUCUUGAGUUGAUUUUUAUAUAUGGUGAAAUGAAGGGGUCCAGUUUCAUUCUUCUGCAUAUGGUUAGCCAGUUAUCCCAGCACCAUUUAUUGAAUAGACAGUCCUUUCUCCAUUGCCUGUUCUUGUCAACUUUGUCGAAGAUCAGAUAGUUGUAGGUGUGUGGCUUUAUUUCUGGGUUCUCUAACCUGUUCCAUUGGUUUAUUUGUUUAUUUUUGUAUCAGUACCAUGCUGUUUUGGUUAUGCAGCCUUGUCAUAUAGAUUAAAGUCAGGUAGUGUGAGGCCUCCAGCUUUAUUCUUUUUGCUUAGUAUUGCUUCAGUUAUUUGGGCUCAUACUGGUUCCAUAUGAAUUUUAAAAUAGUUUUUUCUAAUUCUGUGAAAAAUGUAAUUGGUAGUUUGAUAGGAAUAGCAUUGAAUCUGUAAACUGCUUUGGGCAGUAUAGCCAUUUUAAUGAUUGAUUCUUCCAAUCCAUAAGCAUGGAAUGUUUUUCCAUUUGUAUUUGUUGUCUCUGAUUUUUUUCAGCAGUGUUUCGUAAUUCACAUUGCAGAGAUCUUUUACCUCCCUAGACAGCUGUAUUCCUAGGUGUUUUAUUUUCUGUGUGGCUAUUGUGAAUGGCAUUGUGUUCUUGAUUUGGCUCUCAGCUUGGACAUUGCUGGUAUAUAGAAACGUUAUUGAUUUUUGUACAUUGAUUUUGUAUCCUGAAACUUGGCUGAAGUUGUUUACCAGAUCUAGGAGCUUUGGGGCACAGAGUAUGGGAUUUUCUAGGUAUAAAAUCAUAUCAUCUGGGAAGAGAAAUAGUUUGACUUCCUCUCGUCUUUUAUUUCUUUCUCUUGCUUGAUUGCUCUGGCUGAGUCUUCCAGUACUAUGAUGAAUAGGAACAAUGAGAGUGGACAUUCUUGUCUUGCUGUAGUUCUCAAGGGGAAUACUUCCAGUUUUUGCCCAUUUAGUAUGAUGUUGGCUGUGGGUCUGUCAUAGAUAGCUCUUAUUAUUUUGAAGUAUGUUCCUGUUCCUUCAAUGCCUAGUUUAUAGAGGGUGUUUUUUUUUAACAUGAAGAGAUGUUCAAUUUUAUUGGAAGCCUUUUCUGUGUCUGUAAGAUGAUCUUGUGGUUUUGUUUUUAAUUCUGCUUAUGUGAUGAAUCACAUUUAUUGAUUUGCAUAUGUUGACCCAACUUUGCAUCCCAGAAAUAAAGCCUACUUGGUCAUAGUGGAUUAGCUUUUUGACAUACGGCUAGAUUCAGUUUGCUAGUAUUUUUUUGAGAAUUUUUACAUUUAUGUUCAUCAGGGAUGUAUGCCUGAAAUUUUCUUUUUUUCUUGUGUCUCUGUAAGGUUUUUGUAACAGAAUGACACUGGCCUCAUAGAAUGGGUUAGGAAGGAGUCCCUCUUCUCAGUUUUUUGGAAUAGUUUCAUAGAAUUGGUGACAGCUCUUCUUUAUACAUCUGGUAGAAUUUGGCUAUGAAUCCAUCUAAUUCAAGGUUUUCUUCUGGUUGGUAGGCUUUUAUUACUGGUUCAAUUUUGGAACACAUUAUCAGUCUGUUCAUGGUUUCAAUUGUUUACUGGUUCAUUCCUGUAUGUUUCCAGGAAUUUAUCCAUUUCUUCUAGGUUUCUAGUUUGUGUGCCUGGAGGUGUUUGUAAUAGUUUCUGAGGGUGUUUUGUGUUUCUAUGGGAUUGGUGGUAAUGUCUCCUUUGUCUUUUUUUUUUUUUUUUUUUUUACUCUCCCUGUGUCGCCCAGCCUUGAGUACAGUGGCAGGAUCUCGGCUCACUGCAACCUUCGCCUCCUGGGUUCAAGUGAUUCUCCUGCCUCAGCCUCCCAAGUAGUUGGGAUUACAAGCAUGUACCACCACACCCAGCUAAUUUUUUAUAGUUUUAGUAGAGACAAGGUUUUGCCAUGUUGUCCAGGCUGGUCUUGAACUCCUGUCCUCAGGUGAUCCACCCACCACAGCCUCCCAAAAGUGUUGGGAUUACAGGUGUGAGUGACUAUGCCCAGCCUCCUUUGUCACUUUUGAUUGUGUUUAUAAUAAAGGUUUUUUGAUUGAAUGAAGGAAUGAUUGAAUAAACGUUAAUUUCUAAUAUCUGCCUCACAGGAUUGUUACAAGCUUAAAGCAUCUAGUAUAGACUGACAGUAGUAAGUACUGAAUAAACCUCAGCCUCUAAAACCUGGCCCCAAUCUACUGUCUCCCCAGGGCCCAUCCCCACACAAGCACCUCUUCUAUAUGUGUGUCAAACUAUACUAGUCACUUUCUCUAAUUUACUAGAUGUACUAGGUGCUGGGCAUUGUGCUAAGCGGUUUAUCUGCAUUUAUCAGCUAAUUCCCAUAACAAUUGUGGAAGCUAGGUACUGUUAUUAUUGCCAUAUUAGAUGUAAAUUCCAUGAGGACAAAUGUAUUUUUGCUUGUUUUAUUGAAUAAUUGAAUAAAUGAAUGAAUAAAUGAAUACCUAUUUCAUGAAUGCAGAAAUUGAGUCUGAAAGAGAUUCAGCCAUUUGCCCAAAGUCACACAGAUAAUAAAUGGUAAUUCAAGCCACAUUGAUUUCAAUAUCCAUGCUUUUAAUCACUUUCUCACACCCUCUCAGCUGGGAGAGUGGUGAUUAGGUGUUUAUCAGACGAGGUGCUAAUUCUUAUUUAUCCCCUAGACCUUGGUAACAAGGUAACAAAGACAAACAAACAAACAAACAACAACAAAAAACAGAGACUGUAUUUAUUCUGACUCUAAACUGUAAGAUAUUCUUUUUUCUCCUAAUAAAUCAAGGUUUAUCAACAGAAACAUUUAUUUUUAUGUCAACACCAAUUAGUCUUCCCUGUGGUUCUCAAAGCAAUAAAAUAAUUUGUUCAGGCAAACCCAGCUAAAAAGACAAAUAUUUCUCCUUUUUGUUAGAUUUUGAUUGAUUCCUAUUUUAUCUAGAUCACAGAAAUUAUGCUAAGGUAGAAAUUGUUUUUUCUAUAGCAAACUAAAGAAAAUUUGUAAUUCUGAUGUUCUUCUAAGUGAUGCUCACUAGUUGAGAAGAUAACAAAGAACUACUACAUACAAUUCCAAAUAAACCCAAGCUUACAUAACUAUUUUAAAAAGCAAACAAUUCAGGUGAAAAUACUCAUAUGCAGUCAAAUAAAUUCCUAUAGGAUGAACCAAUUUUUCCAUUAUUAAAAACUCUCAACAAACAUAUGAAAAAAAGCUAACCAUUACUAGAGAAAUGCAAAUCAAAACCACAAUGAGAUACCAUCUCACACCAUUUAGAAUGGCAAUUAUUAAAAAGUCAGAAAACAACAGAUGCUGGCGAGGAUAUGGAGAAACAGGAACACUUGUACACUGUUGGUGGGAGGGUAAAUUAGUUCAACCAUUGUGUAAGACAGUGUGGUGAUUCCUCAAAGAUCUAGAACCAGAAAUACCAUUUGAUCUGGCAAUCCCAUUACUGGGUAUAUGUCCAAAGGAUUAUAAAUCAUUCUACUAUAAGAACACAUACACAUGUAUGUUUAUUGCAACACUAUUAACAAUAGCAAAGACUUGGAACCAACCCAAAUGUCCAUCGAUGAUAGACUGGAUAAAGAAAAUGUGACACAUAUACACCAUGGAAUACUAUGCAGCUAUAAAAAAGAAUGAGUUCGUGUCCUUUGCAGGGACAUGAAUGAAGCUGGAAGCCAUCAUUCUCAGCGAACUAACACAGGAACAGAAAGCCAAACACCACAUGUUCUCAUUCAUAAAUGGGAGUUGAACAAUGAGAACACAUGGACACAGGGAGGGGAACAUCACACACCGGUCCUGUCGGGGUUGGGAGGCAAGGGGAGGGAUAGCAUUAGGAGAAAUACCUAAUGCAUGUGGGGCUGAAAACCUAGAUGAUGGGUUGAUGGGUGUAGCAAACCACCAUGGCACAUGUAUACCUAUGUAACAAACCUGCACAUUCUGCACAUGAAUCCCAGAACUUAAAGUAAAAUAAUAAAAAAAAACUCUCCAGUGUUUGCAUUAUACCCAUAAUUUCACUGUUAAUGUUGAUAUAAACACUCAGUGUUCCAUGAGCACUAUAUUGUUAAGCUGUGCUAAUAGAAAUCAAGGAACAGAGAUGUGCCCUGUAAUAUAUGAUACUGAAACCCAUGAUUCCUAUAUGUGCAAAAUUUUAUGUAAAGAAAAAAAGUAAGUAAGCCUCUCCCUAUAAAUAUUCAUUAUUAUCAACAAUCAGAUCUUAGUGACUAAAAGUGGGGUUUGCAACUAAUUAUGUCAGUGCCAAUCUUGUAUUUACAAGAUUGUAUUACACUACUUUGUAUCUCCUGG
rnacentral:lncRNA from 10 species